GAUGAAGAACGCAGUGAAAUGCGAUAAGUAAUGUGAAUUGCAGAAUUCAGUGAAUCAUCGAAUCUUUGAACGCACAUUGCGCCCGCCAGUAUUCUGGCGGGCAUCCCUGUCUGAGCGUCAUUUCAACCCUCAAGCAACUUCUGCUUGGUGUUGGGGAUCGGCCGUCAAACGCCGCCCCCGAAAUCUAUUGGCGAUCUCGCUGUAGCUUCCUAUGCGUAGUAGUAACAUCUCGCAUCUGGAGAGCGGCGCGGUCAUGCCGUAAAACACCCAACUUCUCAGGUUGACCUCAGAUCAGGUAGGAAUACCCGCUGAACUUAAGCAUAUCAAUAAGCGGAGA
rnacentral:misc_RNA from 1 species